rnacentral:rRNA from 1 species
UACGUAGGUGGCAAGCGUUGUCCGGAUUUACUGGGUGUAAAGGGCGUGCAGCCGGGCUGACAAGUCGGAUGUGAAAUCCCGCGGCUCAACCGCGGAACUGCAUUUGAAACUGUCAGUCUUGAGUACCGGAGAGGUCAUCGGAAUUCCUUGUGUAGCGGUGAAAUGCGUAGAUAUAAGGAAGAACACCAGUGGCGAAGGCGGAUGACUGGACGGCAACUGACGGUGAGACGCGAAAGCGUGGGGAGCAAACAGG